rnacentral:rRNA from 1 species
UCGGGGAACGAUAACGGCGUCGAGCGGCGGACGGGUGAGUAAUGCCUAGGAAAUUGCCCUGAUGUGGGGGAUAACCAUUGGAAACGAUGGCUAAUACCGCAUGAUGCCUACGGGCCAAAGAGGGGGACCUUCGGGCCUCUCGCGUCAGGAUAUGCCUAGGUGGGAUUAGCUAGUUGGUGAGGUAAGGGCUCACCAAGGCGACGAUCCCUAGCUGGUCUGAGAGGAUGAUCAGCCACACUGGAACUGAGACACGGUCCAGACUCCUACGGGAGGCAGCAGUGGGGAAUAUUGCACAAUGGGCGCAAGCCUGAUGCAGCCAUGCCGCGUGUGUGAAGAAGGCCUUCGGGUUGUAAAGCACUUUCAGUCGUGAGGAAGGCGGUGUAGUUAAUAGCUGCAUCGUUUGACGUUAGCGACAGAAGAAGCACCGGCUAACUCCGUGCCAGCAGCCGCGGUAAUACGGAGGGUGCGAGCGUUAAUCGGAAUUACUGGGCGUAAAGCGCAUGCAGGUGGUUUGUUAAGUCAGAUGUGAAAGCCCGGGGCUCAACCUCGGAAUUGCAUUUGAAACUGGCAGACUAGAGUACUGUAGAGGGGGGUAGAAUUUCAGGUGUAGCGGUGAAAUGCGUAGAGAUCUGAAGGAAUACCGGUGGCGAAGGCGGCCCCCUGGACAGAUACUGACACUCAGAUGCGAAAGCGUGGGGAGCAAACAGGAUUAGAUACCCUGGUAGUCCACGCCGUAAACGAUGUCUACUUGGAGGUUGUGGCCUUGAGCCGUGGCUUUCGGAGCUAACGCGUUAAGUAGACCGCCUGGGGAGUACGGUCGCAAGAUUAAAACUCAAAUGAAUUGACGGGGGCCCGCACAAGCGGUGGAGCAUGUGGUUUAAUUCGAUGCAACGCGAAGAACCUUACCUACUCUUGACAUCCAGAGAACUUUCCAGAGAUGGAUUGGUGCCUUCGGGAACUCUGAGACAGGUGCUGCAUGGCUGUCGUCAGCUCGUGUUGUGAAAUGUUGGGUUAAGUCCCGCAACGAGCGCAACCCUUAUCCUUGUUUGCCAGCGAGUAAUGUCGGGAACUCCAGGGAGACUGCCGGUGAUAAACCGGAGGAAGGUGGGGACGACGUCAAGUCAUCAUGGCCCUUACGAGUAGGGCUACACACGUGCUACAAUGGCGCAUACAGAGGGCGGCCAACUUGCGAAAGUGAGCGAAUCCCAAAAAGUGCGUCGUAGUCCGGAUUGGAGUCUGCAACUCGACUCCAUGAAGUCGGAAUCGCUAGUAAUCGUGGAUCAGAAUGCCACGGUGAAUACGUUCCCGGGCCUUGUACA